rnacentral:rRNA from 1 species
AUGGAGGGAGCACUUGUCACCUCCAACUUCAGCAUGUCUGAUCUCUACCCCGCCAAAGCCAAUGCUGCUCAUGCUCCGAGAUCGAGGAGGCUCUCCUACAUCUCCCCUGCUGCCUCUUCUGCUGCUGCUCCGAACCCCAGCUACAGAAGGAGGAAGGGCACGUCGCCCCCGCCGCCGUCGGCUGCCGCCACCGCCACCGUCCUCACCUCGCCGCCGAAGCCGGUCGAGCAACAAGAGACGGAAGAGCACUUGGUCGACACGUCGACUAACAAUGUAAGUGCUACAAGAGUGACUACCGCGAGAACGAGCAGGCCGUCUGAUGCGCCUCGGUCGUCCAGGCCUCGCCGCCGGCCUACUGCUUCGCUACAGGCGGCGUUCUGCAACGCGCUGGAGGAGGCGAUCAACACGUUCGUCGACCCGCCGGUGCUGCGUCCGUCGGUGGAUCCGCGGCACGUGCUGUCCGCCAACUUCGCGCCCGUGGACGAGCUGCCGCCCACGCCCUGCCCCGUGGUGCGCGGCGUCAUCCCGCGCUGCCUCGCCGGUGGCGCCUACAUCCGCAACGGGCCCAACCCGCAGCACCUCCCGCGCGGGCCGCACCACCUCUUCGACGGCGACGGCAUGCUGCACUCCCUGCUCCUCCCGACGGCGCCCGACUCCGACCCCGUCCUCUGCUCCCGCUACGUGCAGACGUACAAGUACAUCGUGGAGCGCAACGCCGGCGAGCCGGUCUUGCCCAACGUCUUCUCCGGGUUCCAUGGCCUGGCCGGGAUGGCGCGCGGCGCCGUCACGGCGGCCAGGGUGCUGACAGGCCAGAUGAACCCGAUGGAGGGCGUGGGGCUCGCCAACACCAGCCUCGCCGUCUUCGGCGGCCGCCUCUACGCGCUCGGCGAGUCGGACCUCCCGUACGCCGUGCGCGUCGACCCGGCCACCGGUGAGGUGACCACGCUCGGCAGGUGCGACUUCGGUGGCCGCCUCAGCAUGGGCAUGACCGCGCACCCCAAGAAGGACCCCAUCACUGGCGAGCUCUUCGCGUUCCGCUACGGCCCCAUGCCACCGUUCGUCACCUACUUCAGGUUCGACCCGGCAGGGAACAAGGGCGCCGACGUGCCCAUCUUCUCCGUCAAGCAGCCGUCAUUCCUGCACGACUUCGCCGUGACGGAGCAUUAUGCGAUAUUCCCGGAGAUACAGAUCGUGAUGAACCCCAUGGGCAUGGUGGUGGGCGGCGGCUCGCCCGUCGGGGCGGACCCGGGCAUGGUGCCACGCCUCGGCGUGAUCCCCAAGUACGCCGCGGACGAGUCGGAGAUGCGGUGGUUCGAGGUGCCGGGGUUCAACAUGAUGCACUCGGUGAACGCGUGGGAGGAGGCCGGCGGCGAGGAGAUCGUGAUGGUGGCGCCCAACAUCCUGUCCAUCGAGCACACGCUGGAGCGCAUGGAGCUGAUCCACGCCUCCGUGGAGCUGGUGCGCAUCAACCUCCGCACCGGCAACGUCACCCGCACGCCGCUCGCGGCGGCGAACCUCGACUUCGGCGUGAUCAACCCGGGCUGCCUCGGCCGCCGCAACCGCUACGGCUACUUCGGCGUGGGCGACCCCAUGCCCAAGAUCGGCGGGGUGGCCAAGCUCGACUUCGACCGCGCCGGCCACGGCGACUGCACCGUGGCGCGCCGGGACUUCGGGCCGGGGUGCUUCGCCGGGGAGCCGUUCUUCGUCCCCGACGACGUUGAGGGGAACGGCGACGAGGACGACGGCUACGUGGUGUGCUACGUGCACGACGAGGGCACCGGCGACAACCGGUUCGUGGUGAUGGACGCGCAGGCGCCCGAGCUGGACAUCGUCGCCGAGGUGCAGCUUCCCUCCCGCGUCCCCUACGGCUUCCACGGCCUGUUCGUCACGCAGGCCGAGCUCCGGUCACAGCACCAAUGA